GUGACCGCCCCCACUUGCCCCACCUAGUCCACCAGCUCCACCUGCUCAGUGAAAGGUUUUCAAGAAGCACCAAGCACCAGCACCAAGAGACGCAGCACAAAGCCUUCACCACAACACUCCACACUGCCUAAUCUUCGUCUAUUAAAGUUUGGUGAGAUGAUAAAGACUAUAUAUGGAUGUCCUGCCGCCACUGUUCCCGGGGUUUUCUCCGGGCCGCCUCCCCCCGGCGGUCCCCUAGCCAUCACCCUACCCC